UUCGUAGGCGGUGUGGCAAGUCGGGAGUGAAAUCUCUGGGCUUAACUCAGAGGCUGCUUCCGAAACUGCUGUGCUUGAGUGUGGGAGAGGCGCGUGGAAUUGCAGGUGUAGCGGUGAAAUGCGUAGAUAUCUGCAGGAACACCCGUGGCGAAAGCGGCGCGCUGGACCACAACUGACGCUGAGGAACGAAAGCUAGGGGAGCAAACAGGAUUAGAUACCCUGGUAGUCCUAGCCCUAAACGAUCAGGACUUGGGGUGCCGCCCGUUCGGGCGUCGUCCCGGAGCUAACGCGUUAAGUCCUGCACCUGGGGAGUACGGUCGCAAGACUGAA
rnacentral:rRNA from 1 species